rfam:Oryza barthii chromosome 6, whole genome shotgun sequence.
UUUAAGUGCAACCACAAAUUUUUGUGCCCAACUUUGAUCGUCUAUCUUAUUUAAAAAAAAUUAAACUUAGCAUUUUUUUUAUGAGAUGAUAAAAUAUGAAUAGUAUUUUAUACGUGACUUAAGUUUUUAAUUUUUUUUAAAAAAAUUUAAAUAAGACAGACGGUCGAAGCUGUGCACGAAAAAUUAUGGCAGCACAUUAA